CAAAGGUAGCAUAAUCACUUGUCAUCUAAAUAAUGACUAGUAUGAACGGCCCAAUGAGGACUUUCCUGUCUCUUAUAACCAAUCAAUGAAACUGAUCUUUCAGUCCAAAAGCUGAAAUAACCCCACAAGACGAAAAGACCCUGUGGAACUUCUAAGUGCUAAUCAAUGAAUGAUUAAUCACUUUUAGUUGGGGCAACUUUGGAACAAAACAAAACUUCCAAUUUUUAGGAUUAUUAAAAAUUUAAACUCAGGCCUACCUGCCAAUCUUUAAAUCCUUAUUUCGACCCAGCACCGCUGAUAAAAGAAACAAGCUACCCCAGGGAUAACAGCGCCAUCCCCUCUUAGAGUCCCAAUCGACGAGCGGGGCUUACGACCUCGAUGUUGGAUCAGGGCCCCCAAACAGUGCAGCAGCUGUUAAAGGUUUGUUUGUUCAACAAUUAAUGC
rnacentral:rRNA from 1 species